rnacentral:lncRNA from 1 species
CCGGUAUUCAAUGAAGAGAGAUGCUACGUUACUAGACUCAACAUGAUUAUGCAGACGACUCCGGAUCUGAGCCCUAGGACCAUGCCUCAGGACUACCUGGCCUGAUGACUCCUUGCUGUCCCCAGUCCACCUGGCCGUGCUGCUGCUCCAGUUUCAACUGUUCUGCCUGCGGCUAUGGAACCCUGACCUGUUCACCGGACGGCUAUGAAAAGCCAACUGACAUUUACUCCUGAGGUGCUUACGUGUUGCACCCUCGACAACCACUGAUUAUUAAUUUGUCCAUGCUGGUCAUCUAUGAACUUUUGAUCAUCUUGACCAUGUUCUGUUAUAAUCUCCACCCGGCACAGCCAGAAGAGGACUGGCCAAUCCUCAUAGCCUGGAUCCUCUAGGUUUCUUCCUCAGUUCUGGCCUUUCUAAGGAGUUUUUCCUAGCCACCGUGCUUCUACACCUGCAUUGCUUGGGGUUUUAGGCUGGGUUUCUGUACAGCACUCGAGAUAUCAGCUGAUGUAAGGGCUUUAUAAAUAAAUUUGAUU